GCGCGGUACUUAUAUGACAGUACAUUGUAGAGCCAUGCCGAGGUUGUGAGUUCGAGCCUCACCUGGAGCAGUACUUUUACUACGAGAGCGAUAGGUAUUAGCCAUUGAUGUAGUGAUAACAUGGAAUACAUCAGGCAGCCAAACGGUCGGUGACUGACAAUUCAGCAGUGUAGACAAAGAAGAUAUCAGAGCUCGCACCCCGGGCAGGUUGGUGAUGAAGCGCCUGUCAGAGCGCCAAGGGGAAGUGAUGUCAUGGCGCUCUUGGCAAAGAACAGCAGACUGGAGUGAGCUAGAUCCCAACGUGGCUAUGAAGGCUGUAGCAGGGAGGCAGUGGUAGCUUCCAGAGGACUCUGAGCCUGAUGAACUCUCAGUGCUGAACACUGUGUUAAGAUGGAGGAGCCAAGUACACUUUGGAGAUGGAUGAGGGGAGGGGGGUGUCCAGAAUAUAUAGGGUCCAUUGGCUCACCUCCCCCUGCGCCUCCUUAACCUAAUUAAACAUCACUCCAACAGCCCUGCUCCUCUGCCAACUCCCAUCACACACUCCACUCUCUCUCUCUCUCCUUGUCUCCUCCCUUUGCCUCUCUUUCUGGAAAUUUCACUGGAUUUACAGGAUUUAUAGCAUUUCAGACUUGCUUUACUACCCCUUAGGUCUCAAACAAGACCUCUUUGCAUGCAUGCUUGUGGAUACGUGUGUGGGUAUAUGCUUUCC